UUGUAGUAGAAUACUCUGUAACGACUCCUCCGCCAGCAGCUGUGGAGCCGGUCUCGCGCAAUGGAUGCCCACGAAUCAUGUCAGGCGGGGAACCGAGCAGCAUUAAGAGGGAUCAUCCAUGUGCCGCGAGGACGCCGGCUCCACAGCUGCGGACGGAGGAGUUGUUUUUUACAA
rnacentral:SRP_RNA from 1 species